GACGAACGCUGGCGGCGUGCUUAACACAUGCAAGUCGAACGGAAAGGCCCUGCUUUUGUGGGGUGCUCGAGUGGCGAACGGGUGAGUAACACGUGUGUAACCUGCCCUUGUUUUUGGGAUAACUUCAGGAAACUGGGGCUAAUACCGGAUCGGAUCUCCUGCUGCAUGGUGGGGGUUGGAAAGUUUCGGCGGUUGGGGAUGGAUUAGCGGGUUAUCAGCUGGCUGGUGGGGUAGUGGCUGACCAAGGCUUUGACGGAUAGCCGGCCUGAGAGGGUGAACGGCCUCAAUGGGACUGAGGGAGGGCGCAGUCUGCUACGGGAGGCAGCGGUGGGAAGUAUUGCACAGUGAUCGGAAGCCUGUGGCGGCAGCGCUGCGGGCGGGAUGCCGUCCUUCGGGGUGAGAACCGCUUUCGCCUGUGACGAAGCGUGUGUGACGGUAAUGAGUGAAGAAGCACCGGCUAACUACGUG
rnacentral:rRNA from 1 species